rnacentral:lncRNA from 1 species
AAAUAUUAUCUUUAUUUUUAGCAUAUUGUACGCUUAGCAAAUAUAUCUACACAAAGGGGCAUAGUAAAUAGAAAUCUUAAGGGAGAAAUACUAAUAAAUUGAGGCUACUCUACUUCCCCUUAGGAUGCACUAGGCAUUAUUUUUCUUAAAAAAGAAAAAGAAAAAGAAAAAGAAAAAGAAAAGAAAAAAAAAGAAAGAGGGACUAUGCAUUUCAUCUUUUCCUUUCCAAAAAAAUAGCAGUAUGAUUCACAUCUGAUACUAGGUAAAGUGCUGAAACCUAUAAUGAGAAGAGUGGUAUCAACUAAUGAAAACAAGGAAUGAGUUUCAGAAAAGACAAGAAUUCAAGGAAAUAACAAAAUAUAAAGUUUGUUCAAACUAAAUGGUACAUUACAUGGUUGGUUUCUUUUAAUUUCUUCUAUAUUGUUCAUAUCUUCUAUAUUUAACUAGAGGUAUCAGCAUUUAUUUUAUAUCACAGAUUAUAAAACUAAAUUAAUUAUGGCCAUGGUUCCACAAUGGUAUCUCUAAGACUACUUUUUCAUAUCAGAAAGUCCAUUAGAAGUUUUAAGUGAAUAGCCAUCUCUUUUAUUCAAAAAAGC